rnacentral:rRNA from 1 species
UACGGAGGGGGCCAGCGUUGUUCGGGAUUAUUGGGCGUAAAGGGCGCGUAGGCGGCUUGGUAAGUCCGUUGUGAAAUCCCUCGGCUCAACCGAGGAACUGCGACGGAUACUGCUUGGCUUGAGUCCCGGAGAGGGUAGCGGAAUUCCCAGUGUAGCGGUGAAAUGCGUAGAUAUUGGGAGGAACAUCGGUGGCGAAGGCGGCUACCUGGACGGGUACUGACGCUGAUGCGCGAAAGCUAGGGGAGCAAACAGG